rnacentral:rRNA from 1 species
UACGAAGGGGGCGAGCGUUGUUCGGAAUCACUGGGCGUAAAGGGCGCGUAGGCGGCGCAACAAGUCACUUGUGAAAUCUCCGGGCUUAACCCGGAGCGGCCAAGUGAUACUGUCGUGCUAGAGUGCGGAAGGGGCUACUGGAAUUCUCGGUGUAGCGGUGAAAUGCGUAGAUAUCGAGAGGAACACCUGCGGCGAAGGCGGGUAGCUGGGCCGACACUGACGCUGAGGCGCGAAAGCCAGGGGAGCGAACGGG